GAGGAUGUAGCUAGCUUAGGUGGNAGAGUGCUUGCCUAGCAUGCAUGAAGUCCUGGGUUCAUUUCCUAGCAUCCUAU
rnacentral:tRNA from 1 species